ACUAACAUUUUCGAUUGUCUUAAGCACGCCACCGAGACCCUUCACACGUUCAGCGUCACCGAUAGCGACGACGCCGUUACGUGCUCUGCAAGAGUGCCGGAAAAUGCCCUUUUGAAGUGAUCGCCGGUGUCGCAUCAAGGUUUACAAUUAACGUAAAGGCGGGGGUAACGCUAAGAGCAGCGAACGGACCUUACGUCAUCAAAGUCGACUGCUCAGAUAGCGACAAUGACGUCACUGCGACGUUCACACAACCAGUGAUUGAUACACCGCCGACGUUUGUAUCCGGGAUCCCCGGAAGUUCCCCUAACGUCUCUGACUCCACUGUCACACAGAUGUUGCUCGGGAAGUUUACAUCUACCGACCCAGAUACGGCGUGUUCUGUGACGUCACCAUCCACCACCAUGUAUGAGAUCAGAAAUGUGACGUCACCGGUGA